GGCUCUGUGGCGCAAUGGAUAGCGCAUUGGCCUUCUAGUGUAUUGAAGGCCUUCUAGUGUAUUGAAGGCAUUCAAAGGUUGUGGGUUCGAGUCCCACCAGAGUUG